rnacentral:rRNA from 1 species
CGAUGAAGAACGCAGCGAAAUGCGAUAAGUAAUGUGAAUUGCAGAAUUCAGUGAAUCAUCGAAUCUUUGAACGCACAUUGCGCCCCCUGGUAUUCCGGGGGGCACACCUGUUCGAGCGCCAUUUCUACCCUGGAGCCCUGCUCUGUGGUGGGCCCCGUCCUCGCGGACGGGCCCGAAACCCGUGGGCGCCGUCGCCAGGCCCCGAGCGUAGCAAGAGAAAUCCCUCGCUCGGAGCGCCUGCCGCCGGCCGCCCCGAACCAUUUUUACAAG